rfam:Candidatus Kaiserbacteria bacterium RIFCSPLOWO2_02_FTLL_55_12 rifcsplowo2_02_scaffold_8738, whole genome shotgun sequence.
GCGUCGGUGGCAGAGUUGGUCAAUUGCACCUGACUGUAGAUCAGGCGCCUUCGGGCUACGGAGGUUCGAAUCCUCCCCGGCGCA